rnacentral:rRNA from 1 species
AGGACGAACGCUGGCGGCGUGCCUCAUACAUGCAAGUGGAACGACGAACCAGGAUUUAUCCUGGGGCAAAGCCGCGAACGGGUGAGUAACACGUGGGCAACCUGCCCCUCACACUGGGAUAACCUCGGGAAAACCGGGGCUAAUACCGGAUACGACCUCGAGCGGCAUCUCUUGAGGUGGAAAGCUCCGACGGUGAGGGAUGGGGCCCGCGGCCUAUCAGCUUGUUGGUGGGGUAAUGGCCUACCAAGGCGACGACGGGUA